rnacentral:rRNA from 1 species
CCUACGGGAGGCAGCAGUGGGGAAUCUUGCACAAUGGAGGAAACUCUGAUGCAGCGAUGCCGCGUGAGUGAAGAAGGCCUUUGGGUUGUAAAGCUCUUUUGUAGGGGAAGAUAAUGACUGUACCCUAAGAAUAAGGUCCGGCUAACUUCGUGCCAGCAGCCGCGGUAAUACGAAGGGACCUAGCGUAGUUCGGAAUUACUGGGCGUAAAGCGCGCGUAGGCCGUUGAGUUAGUUAAUUGUGAAAUCCCAAAGCUUAACUUUGGAACUGCAAUUAAAACUGCUCGACUAGAGUUUGAUAGAGGAAAGCGGAAUACAUAGUGUAGAGGUGAAAUUCGUAGAUAUUAUGUAGAACACCAGUUGCGAAGGCGGCUUUCUGGAUCAACACUGACGCUGAGGCGCGAAAGUAUGGGUAGCAAAGAGGAUUAGAUACCCUCGUAGUCCAUACCAUAAACGAUGAUUGCUAGAUGUUGGAAAUUUAUUUCAGUAUCGCAGCUAACGCAUUAAGCAAUCCGCCUGGGGAGUACGACCGCAAGGUUUAAAACCNCGAAAGGAAUUGAACGGUNUGAGAGUGCGAGACGACGACGAGGAGAGG